AAAAUACUCCCUCCGUUCGAAAAUACUUGUCGUAUGUAUCUAAACGUAAUUUAGUUAUAGAUACACCCAUUUUCAUCCAUUUCUUCGACAAGUAUUUCUGGACGGAGUGAGUACCUC
rfam:Triticum aestivum genome assembly, contig: Triticum_aestivum_CS42_TGACv1_scaffold_132222_2BL